rnacentral:lncRNA from 1 species
CACACAUGGCACGAAUCUGAGAACUACACAGUCGAAGAACCUCGCAUUUCAGAAGGAAACAAAAACCUACUUGAGUGGGAAGAAGGGGCGAAGCACUUGGGGUGUGAAAAUUAGGGCAAAAGGGGGCGUUGCUUGCGGUCCUUGCAACAGCUGCAACUCAAAUCCUUUGAGUGGGGAAUGAUGAGAUAGGCAAUGGGGUUGAGUGAAAGUGGUGAUUAAUUUAGGGAAAGUGUGUGUGGGCUGAAGAGUGGGGUUUUUGGGCGGCUUGAAAUUGAAAAUGGGCGUGAGUUGAUGGAGUCUGAGAUGGUGAGGGUUAAGUUAGGGUUGAGAGCGGCUUGGACGUAAAAAGGGGAGUGAAUGAGAGUGUUCAGAUGUGGAAUGAAAGAGGUAGGGGUUUAAAGAAGUGGGUUGGGCCAUGCACUGUGCAACCAGGCCUAAAAAGCGCAGGUUCUGUGACAGCAGGUCGCACGCCCGGGCGCCCCUGGGAGAAGGGUGCUUGAGCGCCAUAUCAGAACCUGGUUCUGCAGAACUUUGGCAGUUGUGCCUGCACGUCGCGCGCCCGGGCGCCCCUAGGAGGAGGGCGCUUGAGCGCCAUACCAGAACUUAGUUCUGCUGCAAUUUUGGCAACUCAACAUGCUCUUUUUGGAAUUUGAUGAUUCUUGAAGUUCAAUUCAACCCAGAUUGCUAAGUUAUGGUCAUUCAAACUUGGUCAAAUCCAGAGAGAGUGAAAUUGGGUGCCAGAAUGGGAAAUUAAGUGCACACUUCCUAAGCUUUGUAAUGAACACUCAAAAGUGAAUUUAGGCAUGCACAACAACAUACUGAGAACUAGCAGUCCAGAACACACCAAACAUUUCCAAUUACUUCAAACAACCCAAUUCACAACAACACUUAACCAUUACACUAAUGCAGCUAUUGACACCGUACUAACAAAACGUGAAAAAUCACAUAAUUUUAACUCAAACACAUAGUCCAAAACAACCAAUCAGCACUUAAAACACAUCAAACCACUUUCACAAAAUCAAACAACAAAAUCAGAAAUAAGAAAAGGGUCAAAAGGCUGGGUUGCCUCCCAGUAAGCGCUUGUUUAACGUCAUGAGCCUGACACAGUUAUGCUCAAGGGUCAGAGAGAUGGAUAAUUGUGGUGAGACGCUGAAUCUCACCACCCAAGUAAUGUUUCAACCGCUGACCAUUUACCACCCAACUUCUUUCUGGAU